AACGCACCUUGCGCCUUUUGGUAUUCCGAAAGGCAUGCCUGUUUGAGUGUCAUGAAAUCUCAACCAUUAGGGUUUCUUAAUGGCUUGGACUUGGGCGCUUUGCCUCUCGAGGCUCGCCUUAAAAGCAUUAGUGCAAUGAAAUAAUCAUCUGUCUGGCGUAAUAAGUUUCGCUGGGCUGGUUAUGAAGUGUGCUUCUAAUCGCCUUCACGGGCAAUAUCUAUGACUCUGGCCUCAAAUCAGGUAGGGCUACCCGCUGAACUUAA
rnacentral:misc_RNA from 1 species